rnacentral:rRNA from 1 species
CGGUGGAGCAUGUGGUUUAAUUUGAAGCAACGCGAAGAACCUUACCAGGCCUUGACAUCCAAUGAACUUUCUAGAGAUAGAUUGGUGCCUUCGGGAACAUUGAGACAGGUGCUGCAUGGCUGUCGUCAGCUCGUGUCGUGAGAUGAUGGGUUAAGUCCCGUAACGAGGGCAACCCUUGUCCUUAGUUACCAGCACGUUAUGGUGGGCACUUUAAGGAGACUGCCGGUGACAAACCGGAGGAAGGUGGGGAUGACGUCAAGUCAUCAUGGCCCUUACGGCCUGGGCUACACACGUGCUACAAUGGUCGGUACAGAGGGUUGCCAAGCCGCGAGGUGGAGCUAAUCCCAUAAAACCGAUCGUAGUCCGGAUCGCAGUCUGCAACUCGACUGCGUGAAGUCGGAAUCGCUAGUAAUCGCGAAUCAGAAUGUCGCGGUGAAUACGUUCCCGGGCCUUGUACACACCGCCCGUCACACCAUGGGAGUGGGUUGCACCAGAAGUAGGUAGUGUAACCUUCGGGAGGACGGUUACCAA